rnacentral:rRNA from 1 species
UACGUAGGGUGCAAGCGUUAUCCGGAAUUAUUGGGCGUAAAGAGCUCGUAGGCGGUUUGUCGCGUCUGCUGUGAAAACUGGGGGCUCAACCCCCAGCCUGCAGUGGGUACGGGCAGACUAGAGUGCGGUAGGGGAGAUUGGAAUUCCUGGUGUAGCGGUGGAAUGCGCAGAUAUCAGGAGGAACACCAGUGGCGAAGGCGGCGACCUGGGCCAAUAUUGACGCUGAGGUGCGAAAGCGUGGGGAGCAAACAGG